rnacentral:miRNA from 1 species
CUAUCAGGUGGGUUCAAAAGUAAUUGCAGUUUUUGCCAUUGAAAGUGAUGGGAAAAAAUGCAGUUACUUUUGUGCCAAAUCCAAUA